rnacentral:rRNA from 1 species
UACAGAGGUCUCAAGCGUUGUUCGGAUUCAUUGGGCGUAAAGGGUGCGUAGGCGGCGCGGUAAGUCGGAUGUGAAAUCUCGGAGCUUAACUUCGAAACUGCAUUCGAUACUGCCGUGCUUGGGGACUGGAGAGGAGACUGGAAUUUACGGUGUAGCGGUGAAAUGCGUAGAUAUCGUAAGGAAGACCAGUGGCGAAGGCGGGUCUCUGGACAGUUCCUGACGCUGAGGCACGAAGGUCAGGGGAGCAAACGGG